rnacentral:tRNA from 1 species
UCCUGGCUAGCUCAGUUGGUAGGGCACUAAACUCCUGAUCUGAGGGUCAUGAGUUCAAGCCCCAUGUUGGGAA